UUGAACGCUGGCGGCAUGCUUUACACCUGCAAGUCGGACGGCAGCACAGAGAAGCUUGCUUCUUGGGUGGCGAGUGGCGAACGGGUGAGUAAUAUAUCGGAACGUACCGAGUAAUGGGGGAUAACUAAUCGAAAGAUUAGCUAAUACCGCAUAUUCUCUGAGGAGGAAAGCAGGGGACCUUCGGGCCUUGCGUUAUUCGAGCGGCCGAUAUCUGAUUAGCUAGUUGGUGGGGUAAAGGCCUACCAAGGCGACGAUCAGUAGCGGGUCUGAGAGGAUGAUCCGCCACACUGGGACUGAGACACGGCCCAGACUCCUACGGGAGGCAGCAGUGGGGAAUUUUGGACAAUGGGCGCAAGCCUGAUCCAGCCAUGCCGCGUGUCUGAAGAAGGCCUUCGGGUUGUAAAGGACUUUUGUCAGGGAAGAAAAGGCUGUUGCUAAUACCGACAGCUGAUGACGGUACCUGAAGAAUAAGCACCGGCUAACUACGUG
rnacentral:rRNA from 1 species